rnacentral:pre_miRNA from 1 species
UAUGACACUUAUGCAUAGGUGGACCAUUCAAGACCAUAGGAUCCAGCUACGCUAAGUGGAAUAGU